AUGCAUCUGAGUGAAGACUGAUUGGAAAAUUAAUAUGCUAACCACAUGAUCCAAAGUAAAUUGUCAUUACAAAAAAAUAAAAAACAAACAGGAAAUUAUGUUCUUUGUAAUGUAGAGUGGGAAAACAGCUAAAUAUAUAACUUCUAUUCAUCACUUUCAAUUGUGCAAUUGUACAAUUACUAUCUUGUUAUUCAGGUCUAUUCAUUCUUCCACUAUCUGAAGCAGAGAAAACAGAUGACACUCGUCCACCGCACAACGGGAGGGCGUGGGACUAAAUCCUGGGACCAGAUCCUGGCACUGGCCACAAAUGACCACUGUGACCCUGACUGUGUGUGGAGUUCAUAAUGAUGCUUCAGGUUCAUGACACAUUCCUGGAGGGAAAUAAAAUCUCCUGCCAGUGGUAGAGGAUGCUCAGUGAAUGCAGCUGUACCUUCUCUCCCACAGUUUUGCUGCCCAUUUCCAGCCCUCUUUGCACGUCCAGCAGUCAAUAUCCAUACAUUUUGACAUACUUGGGGAAAACAUGUUUAUUUAAAUCCUGAUUUUGUAUACUUACUGAGCAAAGUAAUAGCUAGUGGAAAAGUAAAAAUAAUUCUACCUUCUCACUUUAAAGAUUUUCCUCACUCCUUUAUCAUAUACGAAAUACUAUUGUAUUUAAUAAUGCAUAAUAUUAAUAUUAAAACAAAAAAAUAAACCAAA